rnacentral:rRNA from 1 species
UUAAGUUAAUAAGGGCGCACGGUGGAUGCCUUGGCACUAGGAGCCGACGAAGGACGUGACAAACGACGAUAUGCCUUGGGUAGCUGUAAGUAAGCGAUGAUCCAGGGAUUUCCGAAUGGGGGAACCCAACAGGUAAUACCUGUUACCUACAUCUGUUAAGGAUGUGAGGAGGAAGACGCAGUGAACUGAAACAUCUAAGUAGCUGCAGGAAGAGAAAGCAAAAGCGAUUGUCUUAGUAGCGGCGAGCGAAACGGCAGAAGGGCAAACCGAAGAGUUUACUCUUCGGGGUUGUAGGACUGCAAUGUGGACUCAAAGAUUAUAGAAGAAUGAUUUGGGAAGAUCAGCCAAAGAGAGUAAUAGCCUCGUAUUUAAAAUAGUCUUUGUACUUAGCAGUAUCCUGAGUACGGCGGGACACGUGAAAUCCCGUCGGAAUCUGGGAGGACCAUCUCCCAACCCUAAAUACUCCCUAGUGACCGAUAGUGAACCAGUACCGUGAGGGAAAGGUGAAAAGCACCCCGGGAGGGGAGUGAAAUAGAACCUGAAACCGUGUGCCUACAACAAGUUCGAGCCCGUUAAUGGGUGAGAGCGUGCCUUUUGUAGAAUGAACCGGCGAGUUACGUUAUGAUGCGAGGUUAAGUUGAAGAGACGGAGCCGUAGGGAAACCGAGUCUGAAUAGGGCGCCUUAGUAUCAUGACGUAGACCCGAAACCAUGUGACCUACCCAUGAGCAGGUUGAAGGUGCGGUAAGACGCACUGGAGGACCGAACCAGGGCACGUUGAAAAGUGCUUGGAUGACUUGUGGGUAGCGGAGAAAUUCCAAACGAACUUGGAGAUAGCUGGUUCUCUCCGAAAUAGCUUUAGGGCUAGCGUCGACAUUAGAGAUUCUUGGAGGUAGAGCACUGUUUGGGUGAGGGGUCCAUCCCGGAUUACCAAUCUCAGAUAAACUCCGAAUGCCAAUGAAUUAUGGUCGGCAGUCAGACUGCGAGUGCUAAGAUCCGUAGUCGAAAGGGAAACAGCCCAGACCACCAGCUAAGGUCCCAAAAUAAUUGUUAAGUGGAAAAGGAUGUGGGGUUGCACAGACAACUAGGAUGUUAGCUUAGAAGCAGCUAUUCAUUCAAAGAGUGCGUAAUAGCUCACUAGUCGAGUGACCCUGCGCCGAAAAUGUACCGGGGCUAAAACAAUUUACCGAAGCUGUGGAUACCUUUAUAGGUAUGGUAGGAGAGCGUUCUAUGUGUGAUGAAGGUAUACCGUGAGGAGUGCUGGAACGCAUAGAAGUGAGAAUGCCGGUAUGAGUAGCGAAAGACAGGUGAGAAUCCUGUCCACCGUAAGACUAAGGUUUCCAGGGGAAGGCUCGUCCGCCCUGGGUUAGUCGGGACCUAAGGAGAGACCGAAAGGUGUAUCCGAUGGACAACAGGUUGAUAUUCCUGUACUAGAGUAUGUAGUGAUGGAGGGACGCAGUAGGCUAACUAAAGCAGACGAUUGGAAGAGUCUGUCUAAGCAGUGAGGUGUGAAUUGAGUCAAAUGCUUAAUUCUAUAACAUUGAGCUGUGAUGGGGAGCGAAGUUUAGUAGCGAAGUUAGUGACGUCACACUGCCAAGAAAAGCUUCUAGCGUUUAAACAUACUCUACCCGUACCGCAAACCGACACAGGUAGUCGAGGCGAGUAGCCUCAGGUGAGCGAGAGAACUCUCGUUAAGGAACUCGGCAAAAUGACCCCGUAACUUCGGGAGAAGGGGUGCUGACUUAAAGUCAGCCGCAGUGAAUAGGCCCAAGCAACUGUUUAUCAAAAACACAGCUCUCUGCUAAAUCGUAAGAUGAUGUAUAGGGGGUGACGCCUGCCCGGUGCUGGAAGGUUAAGAGGAGUGCUUAGCGUAAGCGAAGGUAUGAAUUGAAGCCCCAGUAAACGGCGGCCGUAACUAUAACGGUCCUAAGGUAGCGAAAUUCCUUGUCGGGUAAGUUCCGACCCGCACGAAAGGCGUAAUGAUUUGGGCACUGUCUCAACGAGAGACUCGGUGAAAUUUUAGUACCUGUGAAGAUGCAGGUUACCCGCGACAGGACGGAAAGACCCCAUGGAGCUUUACUGCAGUUUGAUAUUGAGUGUCUGUACCACAUGUACAGGAUAGGUAGGAGUCUAAGAGAUCGGGACGCCAGUUUCGAAGGAGACGCUGUUGGGAUACUACCCUUGUGUUAUGGCCACUCUAACCCAGAUAGGUGAUCCCUAUCGGAGACAGUGUCUGACGGGCAGUUUGACUGGGGCGGUCGCCUCCUAAAAGGUAACGGAGGCGCCCAAAGGUUCCCUCAGAAUGGUUGGAAAUCAUUCGCAGAGUGUAAAGGUAUAAGGGAGCUUGACUGCGAGAGCUACAACUCGAGCAGGGACGAAAGUCGGGCUUAGUGAUCCGGUGGUUCCGUAUGGAAGGGCCAUCGCUCAACGGAUAAAAGCUACCCUGGGGAUAACAGGCUUAUCUCCCCCAAGAGUUCACAUCGACGGGGAGGUUUGGCACCUCGAUGUCGGCUCGUCGCAUCCUGGGGCUGUAGUCGGUCCCAAGGGUUGGGCUGUUCGCCCAUUAAAGCGGCACGCGAGCUGGGUUCAGAACGUCGUGAGACAGUUCGGUCCCUAUCCGUCGCGGGCGUAGGAAAUUUGAGAGGAUCUGCUCCUAGUACGAGAGGACCAGAGUGGACUUACCGCUGGUGUACCAGUUGUCUUGCCAAAGGCAUCGCUGGGUAGCUAUGUAGGGAAGGGAUAAACGCUGAAAGCAUCUAAGUGUGAAACCCACCUCAAGAUGAGAUUUCCCAUGAUUAUAUAUCAGUAAGAGCCCUGAGAGAUGAUCAGGUAGAUAGGUUAGAAGUGGAAGUGUGGCGACACAUGUAGCGGACUAAUACUAAUAGCUCGAGGACUUAUCCAA